CAAUGCCUCAUUGGGAGAAUAGCUACUCUCAGCCGAUUUGUCUCAAAGUUGGCUGAAGGAUGCCUCCCUUUCUUCAAAGUUCCAUACCAAGCGAAGAACAUCAAGUAAAUAAAGGAGUGCUAAGCUGCAUUUGAGGACCUCAAGAGCUACCUCAAGUCACCACCAUUGUUAUCCUAACUAAACAUGGGUGAAGUCUUAUACUUGUAUUUAGCUAUCUCACUUUUUGCAAUGAGUUCGGUGCUGA
rnacentral:lncRNA from 1 species